rnacentral:lncRNA from 1 species
UGAUUUUAUUAUUUGUGCUAAUGCAAACAUGAAUUCUCUAUAGUUCUUGAUGCAGCACCGCUAAUUACUCAAUCUGCAAUACAUGAUUAUUUCUGGGAGAAGUUUAGUGCAUGAAUUAGCAUUCUGUAAAGUUAGUCUAAGCUCAUGUCUCUAGGCCAGGAUAGAUUUCUCAAUAUCAUUUUUGGGGUUGUUUGAACACUGAACAACAUUGCCAGGUCAACCAUUUCUCAUUUCUUUGUCAUAUCUGUAAAACAUUGACACACCAAGUUUACGGGUGGUGUCUCAAUUUUGUCACCAGCCACUUUCACCGACCCGUAAACUAUCUGUCUCGAGGUCUCCCCAACUGUGUUUGGGUUUAGAAAAACAAAGAACUAUUUUGAAGUCAUUUUCGCAUCAGCUACUUUGUAGGUAUUAUGUGCGUUGUCAGGGAUCUAAUAUCAUGUAGUUCCAGGGAUUUCAGAAGGUCUGGUCAGUCCAUUGUUCUUGCCGUGUGUUACUUUUUCUCAUUACUGUGAUCGUCAGUGCUCUUGACAUCGGUUACUUUUUCUCAUUACUGUGGUCGUCAGUGCUCUUGACAUCGGUUACUUUUUCUCAUUACUGUGAUCGUUUGUGCUCUUGACAUCGGUCGUUCUUGCUUUAUGGUUGCCUUCCCAGUGCACGUUUAUUAGUUCUAACAUAUUAAUGUUAAUAUGCUUGAUUGACCAUAUUAUAUAUUUCACUUCACCGGGGUGGUUGGUGGAAGUGUUGGUUAAAACAAUGUCUCUAAUUAACAAGUUUAUACAGUUGAAUCUUCUUGAUUGACUAUUUUGUAGCUUGCUCUUAGUUGUAUAGUAUUAAUUCUUAAAACUGGAUCUCUUAAAAUUAGUUAAAUUGAACGAGUUGUUUCACUGUUUUGAAAUAAGUAGUUUCAUCCGUCACUGUGUCCUGAAUUUAUUCUUACUGCCUUUUAUGACUUAAAUGUAACUACUGGCAUAUAAUCUCAUGGCUUAAAAUCUUAGUUGAGAAGGUAUUAAAAGUUAUAAGAUCUGGAGUUUCCACUAUUUCAUCCAGCGGUAUUCCCAGUAACUGAAUAUUAAGAGCACUGACGAUCAUAGGUUGUACAUUUAGUUACCGGGAAAUGCUUUUAUCUUGCAGGCCAGUUUUACAUUUACUUUUUCAAUAAUGAGAUGACUAUGAACAGAGUAUCAAGUUUUUUGCCUUGGCAUUACUGCUGCUGUGUACGGAUGGUUACUGAAAGAAGAAGGAUUCAAGCGGCAUACCUUCACUUGACAGAUGCUUUAACCGCAAGAACUGUUGUUAUUUUCUUUUCCUUUCCUACAUUGAUGGUAGUUCGCCUUUGAUUCUAGAAGUCGCAAAGGUGUGAAGGGUAGAGAUUUCCAUUGCCGUUGAAUUGGUGGGAUUGUCACCAAGUUAGUGUUGCAGAUUGUUUCUAUUUUAGAGCAAGAAGCCAAAUCAUGUUGUUCAUUGUAAAUCUUGAAAAACUUGUUUACUGUCACUUCUAUAUCUAUUGUAAACUUUCGUUCCUGGUGUGGUACUUACCAAUCUUGGUGUGCCCUUCCAUUGCAGCAGACCAAUAUGUCCUUGUUUCUUCAAAAAAAAAAAAAAUCUCAUUUCAAGUUUGCACCUCUAUUAUAGUAGAACAUGUCAUAAACAUGGCAUUGGG